rnacentral:rRNA from 1 species
UACGUAGGGUCCAAGCGUUAUCCGGAUUUAUUGGGCGUAAAGCACAUGUAGGUGGUUUCAUAAGUCUUUUCUUAAAGCUCUAAGCUCAACUUAGAAUCUGGAGAAGAUACUAUGAGGCUUGUGGUCAGCAGGGGCAAAUGGAAUUCCCGGUGUAGGAGUGAAAUCCGUUGAUAUCGGGAGGAACACCAAUGGCGAAGGCAGUUUGCUAGGCUGAUUCAGACACUGAGAUGUGAAAGCGUGGGGAGCGAACGGG